rnacentral:rRNA from 1 species
CAAUAGCGUAUAUUAAAGUUGUUGCAGUUAAAAAGCUCGUAGUUGGAUUUCUGGUGGGAGCGAUCGGUCUGGCGCUUAGCGCGAGUACUUGCAUCGUCUCCGGCCAUCCUUGGGGAGAGUCUGUCUGGCAUUAGGUUGUCGGGCAGAGGAUCCUCAUCGUUUACUGUGAAAAAAUUAGAGUGUUCAAAGCAGGCUUAUGCCGUUGAAUAUAUUAGCAUGGAAUAAUAAGAUAGGACUUUGGUACUAUUUAGUUGGUUUGCGCACCAAAGUAAUGAUUAAUAGGGACAGUUGGGGGUAUUCGUAUUCCGUUGUCAGAGGUGAAAUUCUUGGAUUUACGGAAGACGAACUACUGCGAAAGCAUUUACCAAGGAUGUUUUCAUUAA